CCUACGGGAGGCUGCAGUGGGGGAUAUUGCACAAUGGGGGGAACCCUGAUGCAGCGACGCCGCGUGGGUGAAGAAGCGCCUCGGCGCGUAAAGCCCUGUCAGCAGGGAAGAAAAUGACGGUACCUGAAGAAGAAGCCCCGGCUAACUACGUGCCAGCAGCCGCGGGAAUACGUAGGGGGCAAGCGUUAUCCGGAUUUACGGGGGGUAAAGGGGGCGCAGACGGGGAUGCAAGCCAGGAGUGAAAGCCCGGGGCCCAACCCCGGGACUGCACUUGGAACUGCGUGGCUGGAGUGCAGGAGGGGCAGGUGGAAUUCCUGGUGUAGCGGUGAAAUGCGUAGAUAUCAGGAGGAACACCGGUGGCGAAGGCGGCCUGCUGGACUGCAACUGACGUUGAGGCCCGAAAGCGUGGGGAGCAAACAGGAUUAGAUACCCCUGUAGUC
rnacentral:rRNA from 1 species